GAGUUUGAUCUUGGCUCAGAUUGAACGCUGGCGGCAGGCCUAACACAUGCAAGUCGAGCGGUAGAGAGAAGCUUGCUUCUCUUGAGAGCGGCGGACGGGUGAGUAAUGCCUAGGAAUCUGCCUGGUAGUGGGGGAUAACGCUCGGAAACGGGCGCUAGUACCGCAUACGUCCUACGGGAGAAAGCAGGGGACCUUCGGGCCUUGCGCUAUCAGAUGAGCCUAGGUCGGAUUAGCUAGUUGGUGAGGUAAUGGCUCACCAAGGCGACGAUCCGUAACUGGUCUGAGAGGAUGAUCAGUCACACUGGAACUGAGACACGGUCCAGACUCCUACGGGAGGCAGCAGUGGGGAAUAUUGGACAAUGGGCGAAAGCCUGAUCCAGCCAUGCCGCGUGUGUGAAGAAGGUCUUCGGAUUGUAAAGCACUUUAAGUUGGGAGGAAGGCAGUAAAUUAAUACUUUAGCUGUUUGACGUUACCGACAGAAUAAGCACCGGCGUAACUCUGUGCCAGCCG
rnacentral:rRNA from 1 species